rnacentral:rRNA from 1 species
UGAUCCUGGCUCAGAUUGAACGCUGGCGGCAGGCCUAACACAUGCAAGUCGAACGGUAACAUUUAUAGCUUGCUAUAAGAUGACGAGUGGCGGACGGGUGAGUAAUGCUUAGGAACUUGCCUUUUGGUGGGGGAUAACAGUUGGAAACGACUGCUAAUACCGCAUAAUGUCUUUGGACCAAAGGGGCCCAGCACCUAAGUUUUUUUAUUAAGUAUUUUAUCGCUUAGUAAGAAAGCUUAGGGCUGGGUCUCACCAAGAGAGAGGCCUAAGUGAGAUUAGUUAGUUGGUGGGGUAAAGGCUUACCAAGACGACGAUCUCUAGCUGUUCUGAGAGGAAGAUCAGCCACACUGGGACUGAGACACGGCCCAGACUCCUACGGGAGGCAGCAGUGGGGAAUAUUGCACAAUGGGGGGAACCCUGAUGCAGCCAUGCCGCGUGUGUGAAGAAGGCCUUCGGGUUGUAAAGCACUUUCAGUUGUGAGGAAAGGUUGGUAGUUAAUACCUGCCAGCUGUGACGUUAACAACAGAAGAAGCACCGGCUAACUCCGUGCCAGCAGCCGCGGUAAUACGGAGGGUGCGAGCGUUAAUCGGAAUUACUGGGCGUAAAGCGCACGCAGGCGGUUUGUUAAGCGAGAUGUGAAAGCCCCGGGCUCAACCUGGGAGGGUCAUUUCGAACUGGCAGACUAGAGUUUUGGAGAGGGGAGUGGAAUUCCAGGUGUAGCGGUGAAAUGCGUAGAUAUCUGGAGGAACAUCAGUGGCGAAGGCGACUCCCUGGUCAAAGACUGACGCUCAUGUGCGAAAGUGUGGGUAGCGAACAGGAUUAGAUACCCUGGUAGU